rnacentral:rRNA from 1 species
UUCCGUAGGGGGGGACCUGCGGAGGGAUCAUUGCUGGAACGCGCCCCAGGCGCACCCAGAAACCCUUUGUGAACUUAUACCUUUUGUUGCCUCGGCGCAUGCUGGCCUCUAGUAGGCCCCUCACCCCGGUGAGGAGAAGGCACGCCGGCGGCCAAGUUAACUCUUGUUUUUACACUGAAACUCUGAGAAAAAACACAAAUGAAUCAAAACUUUCAACAACGGAUCUCUUGGUUCUGGCAUCGAUGAAGAACGCAGCGAAAUGCGAUAAGUAAUGUGAAUUGCAGAAUUCAGUGAAUCAUCGAAUCUUUGAACGCACAUUGCGCCCUCUGGUAUUCCGGAGGGCAUGCCUGUUCGAGCGUCAUUUCAACCCUCAAGCAUUGCUUGGUGUUGGGGCACUGCUUCUAACGAAGCAGGCCCUGAAAUCUAGUGGCGAGCUCGCCAGGACCCCGAGCGCAGUAGUUAAACCCUCGCUCUGGAAGGCCCUGGCGGUGCCCUGCCGUUAAACCCCCAACUUCUGAAAAUUGACCUCGGAUCAGGCCGUAUGACCAAC